UACGUAGGGGGCGAGCGUUGUCCGGAUUUAUUGGGCGUAAAGAGCUCGUAGGCGGCUUGGCAAGUCGGGUGUGAAACCUCCAGGCUCAACCUGGAGACGCCACUCGAUACUGCCAUGGCUAGAGUCCGGUAGGGGACCACGGAAUUCCUGGUGUAGCGGUGAAAUGCGCAGAUAUCAGGAGGAACACCGGUGGCGAAGGCGGAUCUCUGGGCCGAUACUGACGCUGAGGAGCGAAAGCGUGGGGAGCGAACAGG
rnacentral:rRNA from 1 species